rnacentral:rRNA from 1 species
GACGAAGGAUGCAAGCGUUAUCCGGAUUCAUUGGGUUUAAAGGGAGCGUAGGUGGCCUUAUAAGUCAGUGGUGAAAUCUCUGGGCUUAACCCAGAAAUUGCCAUUGAUACUGUAGGGCUUGAGUAUAGUUGCCGUUGGCGGAAUAUGACAUGUAGUGGUGAAAUACAUGGAGAUGUCAUAGAACACCGAUUGCGAAGGCAGCUGACGAAACUAUAACUGACACUGAGGCUCGAAAGUGCGGGGAUCAAACAGG